rnacentral:rRNA from 1 species
GUGGGGAAUAUUGCACAAUGGGCGAAAGCCUGAUGCAGCGACGCCGCGUGAGCGAUGAAGUAUUUCGGUACGUAAAGCUCUAUCAGCAGGGAAGAUAAUGACGGUACCUGACUAAGAAGCACCGGCUAAAUACGUGCCAGCAGCCGCGGUAAUACGUAUGGUGCAAGCGUUAUCCGGAUUUACUGGGUGUAAAGGGAGCGUAGACGGAAUGGCAAGUCUGAAGUGAAAUCCUGCGGCUUAACUGCAGAAUUGCUUUGGAAACUGUCAAUCUGGAGUGUUGGAGAGGUAAGCGGAAUUCCUGGUGUAGCGGUGAAAUGCGUAGAUAUCAGGAAGAACACCGGAGGCGAAGGCGGCUUACUGGACAAUAACUGACGUUGAGGCUCGAAAGCGUGGGAAGCAAACAGGAUUAGAAACCCUUGUAGUCC